UACACCAGCUUCUGCUGCCAUAAUUUAUUGGUUGCUGAUUUAGACCAGUUUAUAUAACAUGCAAGAUGAAGAAAACCAGUCACUUACUACGAAAAUAUGGAUAUCCACAGCUCAACAAUUCCAGGAGUGAAUGGCAAAUCCAGCUCAGGUCUCAGUGCAGGUGGCACAUAAUGCCCCUACCAUUUUUUAUCUCUCUGGUAGAAGGAAUUGCUUUAUUUAUGACUAAAAACCCUACAGAUGAAGGAACACAUGAAGUAUCUCAUUAACCCUAUUUGAUAUAACUUGAUUACAGCCAGAGAAGCUGCUCAGCUGCAGUAGCACGAGGGACCAGGGAGCUGCUCUAUGAACACACCUCAGCACGACGUGGGAAAGCACGGCCUGGACACAGUUUGGAAACCCAGUAGUGUUUCAGGACAGCCAGGACCUGCCAAGGAGGACAAGAACAUACCUGCUUGCCUUCAGGCAGGAGGUUGAGCGUGCCGUACACUGCCACGCUGCUCUCCGUGGACAGCACCAGCCCGUUGUAACACUGGCACUGCAGGGAAGGACACACGGCCAGGCACAGAUGCGUGGCUAAAUGGAAAUUCCUACAACAACACCACCAGCAGCAGCAGCCUGGGGUGCUGGCUGGGAACAGACUGGGAAUGGACCCCAGGAAUGGACACACAGUUAAAUUAACUGUAACCACUUUUCCUCCUCGGAGAAUUAAACCAUAAACUGGCAAACCUCGUUAAUAGAGGAGAUCUCCUUAAGUGCUGCCCUGCAGGAAUCACCUGGAGGAGGCCACGGAAUGGCCCGGGGCUGGCUGGGAGAGAGCACAGAGGUGCUGCUGCGGGGCCCAGGGCGGAGCAGCCCUCCAGUGACAGCCCGACAAAUUGGUUUAGAGUUAAGUUUCUUGUCACCUAGUGUGGAAGAAAAGAGCAGGCUGGGAUGGCAGGGCCGUGUCAGGAGUUCAAGGAAGGUGGAGAGCAAUCACGGGGUGAAAGGGGAGACAGCGCAGAGCAGGAGCAGAGGAGGUGCCAAUUAAUCCUGAGGCAGCAGGGAAGAGAGGAGAGUGCACGUCCACCAGCAUCUGGCUGCAGGAAGCACGGCAGAAACCAAGGGGGAACAAACGUGGCAAGAAGAGAGGCAGCCACGACUGAUUUUUGAUGGGGUCACUACUCUGAGGACUGUGGAAACAGUUCAUGGAGGGCCUGGGCUGGAACGACCCAGCUCUUAGUUACUGCUUGAUAAAAUGCUCAAAGAACACUUUAAAAAGCUGGUUCUUGGCUGCGUGGUCCUCGUUUUCUAGUUCCAGACUUGAAGACAGGGGCUUUCAGCCUGUUUCAGGGAGGUCACAAAGCAGAAACCCUUACACUGACUUCAGUCUAGAGGAAGCAUUGGGUCACACUGCCCGUGCUGGCAGGGAGCAACACCCAGCUCUGGCUCCCAGCUUGGAAAAUCCAGCUGACCCAAGGGCAGUAUUGAUAUGUGGGGAGGUGAAGGAGAUGAAAGUAGCAUUAAACACAAGUUUAACUAUACCUGCCCCAGUUUACAUAGCAAAAGGACAAAUUCCACAGUGCUUUGGUCACUGGGGUUUUGUGUCUGCUCCCGCCUCAGGGCAAGAACCAGCUAAUUGGGAAUAACUUAAACCUUGUAAAAAAAGCACUUACUGCAUUUGUUUGAAGGCAGCAAACAACAACCAAACCCAGUCUUACUCUAAUAGUCACUGCACAUGACACUGUUUUGAGAACUUGGGAUCACAGGGACUGUGACUUUAAUGCUGCAAGUCAGAUGGUCGC